AUGAACGCUGGCGGCGUGCUUAACACAUGCAAGUCGAACGAUGAAGCCCAGCUUGCUGGGUGGAUUAGUGGCGAACGGGUGAGUAACACGUGAGUAACCUGCCCUUGACUCUGGGAUAAGCCUGGGAAUCUAGGUCUAAUACCGGAUAUGAGCGUCCACCGCAUGGUGGGUGCUGGAAAGAUUUAUCGGUCAUGGAUGGACUCGCGGCCUAUCAGCUUGUUGGUGAGGUAAUGGCUCACCAAGGCGACGACGGGUAGCCGGCCUGAGAGGGUGACCGGCCACACUGGGACUGAGACACGGCCCAGACUCCUACGGGAGGCAGCAGUGGGGAAUAUUGCACAAUGGGCGAAAGCCUGAUGCAGCGACGCCGCGUGAGGGAUGACGGCCUUCGGGUUGUAAACCUCUUUCAGUAGGGAAGAAGCGAAAGUGACGGUACCUGCAGAAGAAGCACCGGCUAACUACG
rnacentral:rRNA from 1 species